rnacentral:rRNA from 1 species
CACGUAGUUAGCCGUGGCUUUCUGGUUAGGUACCGUCAAGGUGCCAGCUUAUUCAACUAGCACUUGUUCUUCCCCAACAACAGAGUUUUACGACCCGAAAGCCUUCAUCACUCACGCGGCGUUGCUCCGUCAGACUUUCGUCCAUUGCGGAAGAUUCCCUA